GCUUGGCGCCUGGGCCCAGGACCUCCCUGCAGUUCCUUUUCCCUGCCUCCCAGUCACUCUGUCCCAUAAGGACUCCAGCCAGCUCACUGCCAGAGCUGGUUGACCAGUCAGAAGUUACACUGGGUCAGCCUCAGACCCCAGGGCAGAGAAGUCAAGAGUUCCCCAGGCACAAGCCAAGACUAGGACUACAGCUGCCUCUUGGCAGCUUGGCUUCCUCUCUCCAGGCUAAGUCACCUGGCAUCGACUACCAACCCAUCUACCACUGCUCCUUACCCAGAACCCAGGCACCGAGAUCCCUGCUGCUUCCUGCUUGAUCUUUACCCACCGUUUAAGGUGACCUAGAGCUGCGCUCUGACAGCAGCCGUGAUUUCACAGGACGGGUGUUGCCAGGUGGCUUGGCUGAUGGGGAGUGGAAAGGAGUAGGUAUGACGAGAACCUCCUGUGGGUAGUUUCAAAUCAAACCUGUGGGAAAAGGCUCCAGGCCAGGGGCACCGCAGGUGGGCCCCAUGGGUGCCCUGCUCUUACAGGCAGCACCCAGGCGGAAAGGGGGGGGCCUGCCGAUGGCUUUUUUGUCCCUGCCACUUUGCACAUUGGCAUGUGGUACAUAGAUGAAGGCCACACUAGGGACUAUGGCCUUGAACAUACUGUUCUGGUGGCGACUUACAGACCCCCAUACCUGCCUCUCCCUGGCCAACGCUGACCAACAGUGGCAGCUACCACUGUCCCCAGUGCACAACCUGAGCUGCCAGCACCUCGCCUGCAUAUUGAUGGGCUUUGCUGAGGGGGGGAGGGGCACCACCUGCCAGCUGGCUGUUUACCCACCCUGAGGAUGCUGGUUGGCUCCCGUAUCCCACUCCCUGUAUCACCCUUAAAGGGUGUUGAAGGAUAUAGCUAGCUUCCAUGCAUACUGCACCUUUGGCUCCUCCAGUACUCCAGCCCCUUCUUUCCAGGCCUGGGAAGUGGAAAAGCUCUACUCUUGCUGCUCAGGCUGUCCUGGCCCUUGGACUAAUCAGGAAAGAAUCAGGUUCCCUUGCUUCAGUACUCUUGUUACAUCUUUUCCUGACACUGCUCCUCCCCAAACACCAUCUUUAAUGGAGGCUACACCUGCCCUUCUUCCCCUCCCCUCCCCAGUUCCCCGCUUUAGGUAUCUUACUUCCUAUCAGAGUGAUGUCAUGAGGUCUUCUAAGGCCCCCAUUGGUGUCAACUGCUGGUUUGUCUUGUAGAGUGGGCACUGACCAGUGCCAUCUUCCCCAAGUUAGUCGGUCCAUGGGAGAUCAGAAGUGAGUUGUCACAAUGUUUGAAUUCCAGUCCUGGCCUGGCAGCUCAGUUGGUUAGAGCAUCCUCUGAUUACUCCAAGGUUGCGGGUUUGAUCCCCAAUCAGGGUACAUAUAAGAAUCAAGCAAUGAAUGCAUGAAUAAGUGGAACAACAAAUGGAUGUUUUUUCUCCUUUCCUCUCUCUAAAAUUAAUUAAAAAAUUAAAUGUCUGAAUUCCAA